AGAAUCAACGCUGGCGGCGUGCCUAACACAUGCAAGUCGAACGAGAAAGUGGAGCAAUCCAUGAGUAAAGUGGCGCACGGGUGAGUAACACGUGACUAACCUACCUUUUAGUGGGGGAUAACCUAGGGAAACCUGGGCUAAUACCGCAUAAUACCUACGGGUCAAAGCAGCAAUGCGCUGGAAGAGGGGGUCGCGGCCGAUUAGCUAGUUGGCGGGGUAAUGGCCCACCAAGGCAGUGAUCGGUAUCCGGCCUGAGAGGGCGCACGGACACACUGGAACUGAAACACGGUCCAGACUCCUACGGGAGGCAGCAGUGGGAAUUUUGCGCAAUGGGGGAAACCCUGACGCAGCAACGCCGCGUGGAGGAUGAAGACCCUUGGGUCGUAAACUCCUUUCGAUCGGGACGAUAAUGACGGUACCGGAAGAAGAAGCCCGGCUAACUUCGUGCCAGCAGCCGC
rnacentral:rRNA from 1 species